UUCCUGGCUAUGAAUGGGCCCUCUCCCGGUCUGAAGGGAUUGCAUUCAUUCAUGAAUUGGUCACAAUAAAGAAAGGAGGGGAAAUCUCCCGAAAGAGAUUGGUUUUAAAGGGGAAACCAACUCCACGCUCAUUUUUCUCCCCAGCGAUUGAUGUUCUAGGGAGUUGCAAAACUGGGUCCGAGAGGAUUUUUCGUUUCCCCUAUUCAUUUGUGUCUCUAUUUAUUUGUGUUAACCUGGCUGCUUUCCCCUGUCUUCGGAAGGGAAAGAAACGACACACCUGCCUGGUGCCUGGACCCGCACCCUUUUCUCCUGGGUGGUGACUGUGUGCGUCUGCUGGAGAAGAGAGAGAAGAUCUAAGGGAGACAUACAAUUCAGCCCACGAUGUGCACGGGGCUAGUUAGUCUCUCCGAAACUCUGACGGUAGGACUCCUGGAAGGGCUACCAGCAAUACAGCGGCAGCAGCACCGCCACAUUAUCUGUUAACCAGACUUUGGUUCGCAGCUCGGACACGUCGGGGGCUGCAAGAAGGAUCGAGGAGCUGGGGCAGCAGUGGGAAGAUAAACACUGGGGAGGCAAGGACCAUCUCCCGCCUCAUCAGGACGUGCCUGGCUUGAAUUUAUUUAAAGCCCCACCAGCUGCCUCAGCUUGCCUAAAACAAUCCCACCACAGCCAGCAAUCUGGAGAAGUACGUGAGGGCUGAUUUUUUUCCCUGCAGGUGAAUCUCUUACUCUCCAAUUACCUUUCCCAAGAGGGAGAAGGAGCGAGGCGAGAGGGGGCAAAGUCUUGCUGUGUAUUAAAAGCAGACCAAUCAGAGGUGGAAUAACACAGGGGGACUGCUGCAGGACGCGGCUAAUUUUUUUUCCUUCUCUGCUUGCAAGGCUGAAUCGGGACCUUCACUGAUCUAGCAAAGGGGCGAGAGCGGCGCUGUCCUUUUUUAGCAGAUAAAACUUACAUCUCUCCUUUAUAAACAAUCCUUUUAAAUUGUGCACAAGAAACACCCCCCCCACCUCUCCCUCCAAAGCCUCCUCCCCCCCGCACCUGCUUGCCGGAUCCCUGUUUUAUUUCAAGAUACAAUCCGAGAGGAGGGGGGGAAACCCCCACACAGCAAAUUUAAAACACCCCCCCGCCCCGAACAAAUCCAUGCCAGCGGAUGCCGGAGGAGGAUUGGGAUUUUGUAAGCGAUGCAAGGGCGAUAAGGCUGGAGUUUCCCCCCGGAACCUGAAGGAGGAUCGCUAGGUGUUUCCAAAAGGAAGCGGGGCUGCAGGAUGAAUAAGAGAUACUUACAGAAAGCAACAAAAGGAAAACUGCUAAUAAUAAUAUUUGUUGUAACACUGUGGGGGAAAUUAGCAUCUGGGGCAAACCACCACAAAGCUCACCAUGUUAAAACUGGAACCUGUGAGGUGGUGGCUCUUCACAGAUGUUGUAAUAAGAACAAGAUAGAAGAAAGGUCACAGACAGUCAAGUGCUCCUGCUUUCCUGGGCAGGUAGCAGGUACCACCCGAGCAGCUCCUUCUUGUGUUGAUGCUUCAAUAGUGGAACAGAAAUGGUGGUGCCACAUGCAACCAUGUCUUGAAGGGGAGGAAUGUAAAGUUCUUCCAGAUCGGAAAGGAUGGAGCUGUUCCUCUGGGAAUAAAGUGAAAACAACUAGGACUUCUAGAAACCACAGCUUCAAAUCCCUGCAGAUUCAAUUCAACUUUUCAUUCCUGUGAGGCAAAUUAAGGAUCCAGCCUGCAAACGCACACACAAGUAAAUCUUAUGCAAACGUGUAAAACUCUUCAAGUCCGAAUGGAGAAGUAGAAAAAGGAGGUUUCUGCUGUGCCUGAUGACAAUUUUUGAUUUUUCCACACACACAAAAUAUCCUGGCUCCACGCUGGAGCACUAGUUGUGAUGAAUCCUAGGCUUGGUCGGAUUCUAAGGAAGGGGCAGAAGGUUCGUUGAGGAAUAAAGAGUCAAAACCACUCCAGAAAUGUGUUCCAGCCCUGGUUUAUUACUCACACAGCAGCAGGUAACCCGAUAGCUAAAGACAACUCAAGUCUAUCUCAAGGCUGAUAAUGCUAACAGAGCAGGAAUUUCAUACCUCCCUCCAGGCAAUCCUUGAAGUGAGUUUACACUGCUGGGGUGCAUUGGCUUGUAAUCAGCAACAGCUUGAGAUCAAAACUACUGGAAAGUCAUUGUGAACUUUUCUGUCACAGAGAUUUCAACUGAUUGAACUAUGUACACUUACAAAAUUGCACUUGCUGAGGAAUUUAUGGCUGCAAUCUAAAGCGGUGAUGCUCAGAGGGUGUAGAAGAGGCAGCAAUCUUUUGGGUUCUCCAUUCCAGACUGACGGCUUUUCAUCUUUACAAAAGCAGUCUUCGAAAUGUACUGGUUCUUUCACUCUGAAAUAUUCCCUGGUUCUAUGUACAAAUUGCUGGUGGGACUGCACGCUACUUUAAUCAAAUUUAUGUUGCAGAACUUGUCCUUUGGCAUAGCGCAGUUUUAGACAUUUUUAUUUGUAUUUCUAAUCUUGGAUCUCUGAAAGGCUACAUGUUUCAACAUCUUGAAGUUGCUUUUGUUAUAGGAAUGGAAAUAUAUAUCCAUCGUUAAUAAUUAUUGUUGACAAGUAAUAGUUAUCGGAAUACAUCAAUCAUAUAAGAAUGUAUAGCCAGCCUGACAUGUUUCCCUAAGGCUAACCAACUACUGUAGCUCUUUGGCAGUUUCAUUAUAAGUAUUUUAUACCUUUAAAAAUAUACAUUUCCAUUUAGUUUGAAGAUGAUGGGUGUUUCUGGUAUGUCCUUUACUUUCUUAACCUUAAGUCCUUUCAAGUUGACAGUAAGCAGUAAAUGACAUUAGCUAGUCCCUUUUUGUAAAGGUAGACAGGGAUGCAUGCAAGUUUUACAAUUCUGAGAUUGGAUGUCAUUCAUUCAUAGUUUCUUUUAGUUAUUUAUUUUUUUAAACUAUCUCUUGCUUGAACACAAGUACUAUCUGGAUGCUUAUGUAGUUGUCUGCUCAGUUUGUUAAUAGAGGAAAAAAAUCUUUUCCCCCCAAUCUGAAGUUCAUAAAUGUUUUGCUCACAGUUAUUCAUUCCAGGUCUUCUGGGGCCUUUCCAUAGUCAUUUCCCCAAAUUAACAUUUAUUUUCCUAUUUUCUAUUUCCGUAGCAAAUUUUUGUGAUGUACUGUUCUAUGAAACCCUUAAUAUUUAAAGGCCUUAAACAUAUAUGAAUUUUGUUUCUAAGUUAUUACAGAAUGUAUAAUUUUAUACUCCAUUUAAUAUAUUCAGUACCACUGGUGAUACUAAGAUAAAGGAACCCUGAUCAUUCAUUGUUGUACUGUACUGAUGCUGCAUAAGCAUGCUGACCGGAGAGAGAGAAUGAGAGUUAUAUAGUAUGCUUUAUUGUCUAAAUAGAGACAAAGACCACAGCAACUCAGACCUAGUGAAAAUAUUUGUGUGGGCAGUCUCAUUCAAACGGCCUGCAUGGUUACCGGUAUUUUUAAAACAGCAGGGAGAAGUCCUUUUAUAGUUACAACCCAUUGACAUGGCUAAUUAGAUAUAAAUUGGGUUCCAUGAUGGAUGAACACACUGGAGUGCUCUGGUUAGUCACAGUAUCCUAGGUUCUUCCAAGAAUAUUUCAUUAAACCUCCCGUGUUAUUGCACAGGAGAUCUAAAAAUUAAUGAUUGUUGGGAAUAAUUUGAGAUGUACAUUUCAUCAUUCUGCUGAGAAAUAAUCAAAAAUAUUGGCAGGGAAAGAUAUUAUUUUCUGAUUAAAAUUUAAUUUGGAUAAACUGUAGCACCACUAGCUAUAUCAGUUUUUUCAAAUGCAUUAAUAUUGUAUGGAUUUGUGCUAAAAGAGCAUCUUAAGGAGAAAAGAAAUUCCUUUGUUUGGAACAGUACAAAUUAUAAAUGUGUUAUUUUGUAGAAUAUUAGUUUGGCCUUAAUUUGGUCAAAAUACUGUAUCAUGCUUCUCAAGAUUUGUUUCCUUUGACUUUGUUCUCUGAAUCAACACUGAAAAUACUGUAUUAUAUACAAGUGUAACACAU